UGUAGCACACCCCUGUGCUACAGAUGGUGUAGCAAGGUCUGUAAUGGUGACACGUGGAUAAUUUAAAAUCGAUGGUGACUAUCUCUGAGGGAGGAGAAGGGUUUCCUACAUGCGUUGCAGGCAAGUGGAUUUAGGAAAACAGCCUCACUUGGCCUACUCCUUCUCCAGCGACCUUUCAGGUGAGUGUUUUUCUGCUCCCCUCUCCUCCCUCCGUUCAAGCUUGUUGUAGCUUCACAAGGGAUGGAAGAAUCGAACUGAAAAAACUUACAGAUUUCCCCACAAUUUUCCCUUGCCAUUUUUCGUUGCUACUUGAAGAAGCUUUCCCAUCUGAGUUUGGCUUUGUUGCAACCCCCCUGCCCUGUCGAUGCCCGUUGUUCAUUUUGUUUUGUUUGUAAGCUCUUUUGGUUUCUUAAAGGUGUUGGGAGAUUUGCGUUUUCCAUGGGUACCUUGGAUCGUUGGCUUUAGAAAUUUCAAGAGGAGACUCUUAAGGUAUCUGAACGAAGCAAGAGUCAUCUCAUUUUUUAUUCCGAUUUCAAUAGCCGUUGAGAAUUGAUGAAGAUGCCAUGUUCUGUGAUGGAGUCUAUUCAUUUUCAUCCUUCGUUUCUGACGGGGCUUGGAUUUAGAUUUCAUGGCCGCUGUAAUUUCCGGCUAACUUGCCCUUUUCUUCUGUUUUGCUUCCCCAAGUUCAUUUAUUUCUCAACUAUGCAAUAAUCUCCCCAUCCCUUUACUUUUGGAUUUUCCAUUGUGUU